rnacentral:rRNA from 1 species
ACGAACGCUGGCGGCAUGCCUAACACCUGCCAGUCGAACGAGACCUUCGGGUCUAGUGGCGCACGGGUGCGUAACGCGUGGGAACCUGCCCUUAGGUUCGGAAUAACUCCCCGAAAGGGGUGCUAAUACCGGAUAAUGUCUUCGGACCAAAGAUUUAUCGCCUUUGGAUGGGCCCGCGUUGGAUUAGCUAGUUGGUAGGGUAAAAGCCUACCAAGGCGACGAUCCAUAGCUGGUCUGAGAGGAUGAUCAGCCACACUGGGACUGAGACACGGCCCAGACUCCUACGGGAAGCAGCAGUGGGGAAUAUUGGACAAUGGGCGAAAGCCUGAUCCAGCAAUGCCGCGUGAGUGAUGAAGGCCUUAGGGUUGUAAAGCUCUUUUACCCGGGAUGAUAAUGACAGUACCGGGAGAAUAAGCUCCGGCUAACUCCGUG